AACGAACGCUGGCGGCAUGCCUAACACAUGCAAGUCGAACGAGACCUUCGGGUCUAGUGGCGCACGGGUGCGUAACGCGUGGGAACCUGCCCUUAGGUUCGGCAUAACUCCCCGAAAGGGGUGCUAAUACCGGAUAAUGUCUUCGGACCAAAGAUUUAUCGCCUUUGGAUGGGCCCGCGUUGGAUUAGCUAGUUGGUAGGGUAAAAGCCUUCCAAGGCGACGAUCCAUAGCUGGUCUGAGAGGAUGAUCAGCCACACUGGGACUGAGACACGGCCCAGACGCCUACGGGAGGCAGCAGUGGGGAAUAUUGGACAAUGGGCGAAAGCCUGAUCCAGCAAGGCCGCGUGAGUGAUGAAGGCCUUAGGGUUGUAAAGCUCUUUUACCCGGGAUGAUAAUGACAGUACCGGGAGAAUAAGCUCCGGCUAACUCCGUG
rnacentral:rRNA from 1 species